GUUCAGUGAUGAUCCCCCAUGCGUGUCAUCUGACCCUCCCUCUCCCAGUUAACUUCCACCGGCGUUCUGCCGGCGGGGGAAGCACGUGGGGUCCCGGGAGGAGUGAUCACAGCUAACUCCUGAGGUGUCUGAGAAC
rnacentral:snoRNA from 1 species